rnacentral:rRNA from 1 species
CCUACGGGAGGCAGCAGUGGGGAAUUUUGGACAAUGGGCGAAAGCCUGAUCCAGCCAUACCGCGUGCGGGAAGAAGGCCUUCGGGUUGUAAACCGCUUUUGUCAGGGAAGAAAUGCUCCGGGUUAAUACCCUGGGGUGAUGACGGUACCUGAAGAAUAAGCACCGGCUAACUACGUGCCAGCAGCCGCGGUAAUACGUAGGGUGCAAGCGUUAAUCGGAAUUACUGGGCGUAAAGCGUGCGCAGGCGGUUCUAUAAGACAGAUGUGAAAUCCCCGGGCUCAACCUGGGAACUGCAUUUGUGACUGUAGAGCUAGAGUACGGUAGAGGGGGAUGGAAUUCCGCGUGUAGCAGUGAAAUGCGUAGAUAUGCGGAGGAACACCGAUGGCGAAGGCAAUCCCCUGGACCUGUACUGACGCCCAUGCACGAAAGCGUGGGGAGCAAACAGGAUUAGAUACCCUGGUAGUCCACGCCCUAAACGAUGUCAACUGGUUGUUGGGAGGGUUUCUUCUCAGUAACGAAGCUAACGCGUGAAGUUGACCGCCUGGGGAGGACGGCGCGAGUAGAACACAAGAAGUAGAGCGNGAGAGNGCGACGACGACGACGAGGGAGAGG